GUAAACUGCCGAAUAGGCAGCUUAGAAA
rfam:Sulfurimonas sp. AST-10 Contig13, whole genome shotgun sequence.